rnacentral:rRNA from 1 species
AAUUUGGGAUAAUGGGGGAAACCCUGAUCCAGUCAUCCCGCGUGUAUGAUGAAGGCCUUCGGGUUGUACAGUACUUUUGGCAGAGCAGAAAAGGUAUCUUCUAAUACGGGAUACUGCUGACGGUAUCUGCAGAAUAAGAACCGGCUAAAUAAGUGCCAGCAGCUGCGGUAAUACGUAGGGUGCAAUGGUUAAUCGGAAUUAAUGGGAGUAAAGCAUGUGUAGGCGGUUCGGAAAGAAAGAUGUGAAAUCCCAGGGCUCAACCUUGGAACUUCAUUUUUAACUGCCGAGCUAGAGUAUGUCAGAGGGGGGUAGAAUUCCACGUGUAGCAGUGAAAUGCGUAGAUAUGUGGAGGAAUACCGAUGGCGAAGGCAGCCCCCUGGGAUAAUACUGACGCUCAGACACGAAAGCGUGGGGAGCAAACAGG